UCGUCCUGCUACACCUUGAAUACUUGAAGACCAGAAUGAAGAUUCGUGGGGUGAAGAAUUACAGCCUUAGCAGGGAGCAGGCCUCAGUGCAUCAGCUUUCAGCUAGGCAUGCCUGCCAAUGUUCUCACUGAAUCAGCUUUCAGCUGGGCAUGCCUGCCAGUGUUCAUCGUCCUCCUGGGAUACGGAAGGCACCAUGAUAGACAUCUGGGCAAGUCGACAGGAAGGUGGAUAUCCAAAUCUCUCUCUUUGCAAUGAGUUUCCAGCUAGAUGGAGGAGAGAGUAAUAAAACUCAGAGCUGAGAUUCCUGACUUCACAGAUCCCUGAGGAGAUGUUUACUAAAGGGAAUCUUCUGGCCACCGUUACCUUCCUCCGUACUUACCUGCCUCAUGGAGAACCCGAAAGGAAGAAGCCUAUACGACUGGGGACACGUCCUAGAAGCACACCCCAUUAGAUAAAGUGUCGCAUACUCUUUGAUAAGAACAUGGCUACCAACAAUGUCCCAGGGCUGAAGAGAGACGUCAACCAAGAAGAUACCAAUAUGAACCCUUUUUAAUAGAGGGAGAUGGAGAAGGAGAAACCUCAGAGACUUGCCUACUGACCUUAUUUUUCCCCUCAAAAGAGAUGGGCUUAUUUUCUGCAAGAAAAGAGGCUUAGAUGGCAUUUUUAAAAGGAACCAAUAUUAAAGUUUUGUGAAAGUUUUUCUAGGGAAGGACAGUUAUUGGUGGUAGGAUGGUGUGGCAUGUACGUUAUAGAUGAUAGAAUUGAGGGUGUGUUAGGGCCCAGGUAAAGGCAGGACACCAUGUGUGUUUAGUGGGCUGACUUUGUCUUUGUCUGCUUUUCAUCAGCAAUGGUCAAUAACUCCUGUGUGUCAGACGGUUACUAGAGGAGGAUGUUAGACAGUUGCUAGGUGAGCCAAGCGUCUUUACACGAACAACCCAAGGGGACACUGCAAGUUUAUUCAACCUUAUCUGCGUUAGAGUAUCUUCACGGCCACAUGGUAGGUUACAAGAUGGAUAUAUGAAGUUUUAGUAAAAUAACUUUUCAGAUUUCCUUGUAGAUAUGUCUAACCCUUAACUUCCAAGGAAAAGCAACAUUUUUUAAAAUAAGUCAGGCCUUCUUAGUAAAUGUGUGUUGAAUUACUAAUUUUAUAAAUUGAACUCACAAAGAAAUAACAUUUGAUUUAU